GUGGCGCACGGGUGAGUAACACGUGGGUAACCUACCCUUGAGUUGGGGAUAACUCCGCGAAAGCGGGGCUAAUACCGAAUAACAUGCCGGGGUCUUCGGACCUUGGCAUCAAAGGUGGCCUCUGCUUGUAUGCUACCGCUUAAGGAUGGGCCCGCGUACCAUUAGCUUGUUGGUAGGGUAAUGGCCUACCAAGGCAACGAUGGUUAGCUGGUCUGAGAGGAUGACCAGCCACACUGGAACUGAGACACGGUCCAGACUCCUACGGGAGGCAGCAGUGGGGAAUCUUGCGCAAUGGGGGAAACCCUGACGCAGCAACGCCGCGUGGGUGAUGAAGGCCUUCGGGUCGUAAAGCCCUGUCAGGUGGAAAGAAACAUGUUGGUGCUAAUACCACCAACACUUGACGGUACCACCGGAGGAAGCACCGGCUAACUCCGUGCCAGCAGCCGCGGUAAUACGGAGGGUGCAAGCGUUGUUCGGAAUUAUUGGGCGUAAAGCGCGUGUAGGCGGUUGUGCAAGUCCGAUGUGAAAUCCCUCGGCUUAACCGGGGAAGUGCAUUUGAAACUGCACGACUAGAGUAC
rnacentral:rRNA from 1 species